AGAUUCUAAAAAGAAGAUAACACUUGUCCGAUUUCCAACUCUGAUUUAUAUGAAGUUUUUUGUUCCCUUAAAUCAAGAACUAACUUUGGACUUAACUACAGGGAUAACUGCCACAAAUUCCCUCAGUUA